CUCUGGGUGCUUUUCCCCCCUCUGUCAAUAAUCUAAACCCACAGGACAAGAACCAGAAUCUUUGAUGAGCCUGCUGUUCCUAGCACAUGCAAUGACUGGACUUCUGUGCACUGAAGUGAACUGGAAAUCCACAUAAAGUCCGAGUCUGCACAGUGGCCUUCUAGAAGCCAUGAGCAGACAGGAAGCCAGACGCUACAGAGAGUCCCAGGAGGUGGCUAGAGAUUGCCUCGCUCAACACAAGUAACAGGCUAUUUAUAACACAGCAGACUGAACCCAGCCCACAGUGGACUGCUGAUUCACGGCCAGCGCCUGACUGAGCUCCACGGUAAAUAUGAGGAAACAGUUUAUAUUCUCCAUUUCUGAAUCUCUUAGGCUCUUCGCCAAAAGAAAAUAAUUCUUCCGUAAGUAAAUCUCCGUGUAUCAAAGAUCUUUUUAGUAAUAUGAGUGUGAAGAAGAAAGGAAAUUGAUUUUGGUGAUGUGUAAAUCUAAGAUGCGAUAAUUACAACCAAUUGAAGUCCUGAAGCCAUCCUCUGGAAAUGGUCUUAGACUUAUAAUAGACUUUGUCUUGAUAAUAGAAAAGUAAUAAGAUCACACACUUCAUGCCAGGUACUGUGCUGGGCGUCUUCAUUGAGCCUGUAGUCUCUACAGAGUAAGCGUGGUUGUCCCCUUUUCACAGAAAAGGAAACCAAGGCACUGGACAUGCUUAUAGUAAUAUGUAUGGACUUAAAAUCAUGAUUCUAGAUUCUAGAUUCAAAAUACAAAGAAAAUACAAUGCAAUAGCAUUUGUAAAAUUAAAAGGCAUGCAUACCAUGGUGAUUUGAGUGAGAAUAGUCCCCUAAGGCUCACAUAUUUGAAUCUUUGGUCCCUAGUUGGUGGAACUUUCUCUGGAAGGAUUAGGAGGUCUGGCCUUAUUGGGGGAGGAGUGUCAUAGGGAGUAGGCUUUGAAGUUUCAAACCCACGAGGCUCAGUCUCUCUGCCUCAGACUUGAAGAUACGAUGUAGGGAUGUAGGUUCUCAGCUACUGCUGUAGUGCCAUACCUGCCUGUUGCCAUGCUCCCCUUGAUAACUGUGAUGGACUGAACCUCUGAAACUGUAAGCAAAUCCCCAGUUAAUGCUGUCUUUUAAGUUGCCUUGGUCAUGAUGUCUCUUCAUAGCAACAGAAAGUAACUAAGACAUACAUGUAUAAAACAAUCUGUGUUUUAUAAGAGUGCACACACACAAAGAACUGUUACCUUUGGGAAAUGAGGACAAAGGGAAACGAGAGAUAAUAAGAGAGGCCUGCACACAACAAUGAAGAGGGUGUGGCAAAAGUGAGUGGUUAGCGUCUCAGCCUGUUAGCCACUACUGGGGAGAUUUUUCCCCAAUCAGGGGAAACCUGAUGAUUGCCAGGAGAGCACAGGUGUGUAGUUCACACCUUUACAAGACUUCCUGAAGCACCGAUCAGCAUAUCUGAAGACUGUUCCAUUUCCUGGGAGAAAUCUUGUUAAAUAAUAACAACAAUACUCAUUUCCAUUGCUGGCCACUGAUUUGGCUUGUUGCUAAUUUCCAAUAAGGAGUUGCCUGAGGAAGAGCGUGCACACAAUAACUCUCUGACCAACUGUGAUAAAAAUCCACCUCAUCAAGCUCAGGUGAGUUCUCCAAAGCACCAGAAAGUGUCAGAGAUAUAUCAGGAAGGAGGAAAGAAUGGAACAUUGGGAGGGGGUUUCUAGUGUGUCACUGAGACACUCACUAUUUCCUCGGAGUCUCAGGAUUGGUUUUGAUUCCCUUCGAGUCAGCUGACUUACCUCAAUAGUUUUACAGGUGUCCUCCAGCUGGCUGAUCACACCCUGGACUCUGUCGUUGCUUCCCACAAGUACAGCAAUACCAUCACUGAGCUCUGACUAAUGAAGAGAAAACAAGACUCAAGAUAUUAGGGCUUUCCCAACCAUGGAUGGUUAUGGCCUGCUCACAGCAUCGCCCUCAAGGGGGGUUAAUCCCUAAGGAGUAAGCAAGCCUACAAACAAGCUCCAAGCUCAUGAAUUUCUCCUGAGACAUAUUCUUAUCAUGGAUGAAGAAGAGGAGGCUGCUCAUAAAGCUGCAUUUCCAGUUUAGGCUAGUAGGAUUGCUCAGUACUGCCCCUCCAGCCUCUGACCCCAGAAAAGAACUCUGAGGAUGAAGGUGGCCAAGGAAGGCCAGAAUUUUCUGUCAUUAUUAAUUAAGGUGUUAAUUAAGUACCUGUAAGAGGUAGGUGUGGGGUAUGACUCUUUAUACAAAACCCAGAAAAUAUAAUUAAUCCCAUCUAAAGACUGAGGCUGGGGCCAGUCAUGGGAAACCUGUGAGCCUCUUGAUAUUUCAAGCAAACUUUGAUAUAUACUUGGCUUUGGGAUGAGGCUCCAUAAUUUUCACAUUAUUGAUGGAGAACUGGAAUCUGUUAAAAAACACAAAGAAAACCUAAUUAUAAGCUUUCGAUAAUAGUGUAUUGAAGCUGGAGGUUUCUAAACAUUACAUAAGUAGAACAAUGUGACAGACACAAAUAUGUCAUUUGGAACUCAAAAUGAAUUGUUUGUCUAAUGCAGUUCAGGACUAGUUUUACUUGAGCAAUAAAUGCAGUAAAUAUUCA